rnacentral:rRNA from 1 species
GACGAACGCUGGCGGCGUGCUUAACACAUGCAAGUCGAACGGAAAGGCCCUGCUUUUGUGGGGUGCUCGAGUGGCGAACGGGUGAGUAACACGUGAGUAACCUGCCCUUGACUUUGGGAUAACUUCAGGAAACUGGGGCUAAUACCGGAUAGGAGCUCCUGCUGCAUGGUGGGGGUUGGAAAGUUUCGGCGGUUGGGGAUGGACUCGCGGCUUAUCAGCUUGUCGGUGGGGUAGUGGCUUACCAAGGCUUUGACGGGUAGCCGGCCUGAGAGGGUGACCGGCCACAUUGGGACUGAGAUACGGCCCAGACUCCUACGGGAGGCAGCAGUGGGGAAUAUUGCACAAUGGGCGGAAGCCUGAUGCAGCAACGCCGCGUGCGGGAUGACGGCCUUCGGGUUGUAACCCGCUUUCGCCUGUGACGAAGCGUGAGUGACGGUAAUGGGUAAAGAAGCACCGGCUAACUACGUG